AAGGGUUUAUUCUUAUCUCCUAUCUGAGACGGUCUCACCCUCUCACACAUUAGCCGCCCACUCUCCAUGAAAUCUCUCGUCGUUUAUUUUUCGCCCACUCUCCUAUCUGAGACGGUCUCACCCGCUCCCCAGAUUUCUGUCUCUCUGAAUGAGGUUACUUCUUUGCUCUUGUUAAGGUUUUCGAAGUUCUAUUAUUUCAGAAACUAACACGCUGUCCGUCUAAUUUAGGUAAACUUAUUCAAUUCUCUUAAUAAUGUUUACGGUUGUGGUUUGACGAAUCUACUCACCUGGAUGUAUCUAUGAUUUCUGUUCUGCUGCUUUUCCAAUUUGAUUUCGACAUUCACUUUGGGGUUGUCUGUAUAUGGAUCUCCAAUGAAAUGGAUAUAUCAGAGUCUGGGGCUAAAAACCCAUUGAUGCUUUUGUCUACUUGAAGUGUAUUUGGUAAUUGAUGCUAUUUUGUUCGCUGAAAAAGGCAUGAACUCUAGACAGGGCGAAGCUGGCCUCCAUGGGUGGUGAUGACCAAGGGAGAUUGAAGCAUUUAGAGAAUGCUGAGAGUCUGUUGAUACUCAAUUAAAUAAAUAAGGUGACACCACCUCAUUGUCAUCUGAGCUUCACAAACAUUGUGAGUGGAGACCUUAGACUAGACUCAUAAGCCCAAAAGCAAUGUACAGAUUAAAUUUGGAGAUUUUACUACUACAAGAGGUGUCAAUAAAAAGAGAACAUCAUUACCAGAUAGUCUCUGUAAGACACCAUUGGCCUGCCCAGGGAAAUAGAAAAAGAGAAAUACGAAUGGGAUCAAGAAGACAAGAAGCACUUGGAUAUCUUCCACUGGAUUGACAUCUACGUGUAGAAGACUUUUCUGAAUAGCUUGAAGGCAGUUGGUUUCAAUAUUAGUAGGAAUAGGAAUACAAGGGUGCUCUUAUUUUAGUUCGAA